ACCCAGAUGGGUAACUCUAACAGGAAUGGCAGUGCUUUAGGAUUUGAUGUUCACGAAGAAAGUGGAAUUCCUGAGCAAUGCAGAGGAAGGUAAUGGGGAUAAUAAGGCAAAGCAAGGAGAGCAGCUGGGGGAAGUGAGGGAAAGGCUGAAAGGAAAAGAACAGGCAGCAUGCAGGGCACCUUAUAGUGCAGUAAUGAGCUCUAGGAGCACUAUAUUGUGCCACUCUGUGUAGUGGAUAACCAUCUAUGUGUAUACGUUCCCUUUGCCUGUCUGCGCAACCAGCAGCCGCACAGCAAAGGCGGCUUCCGGGGCACUGCUGGAAAUGCCUCGGAGCGGUUCUCGCACCUCCCGACAGCGCUGCGGCUCUGCUGCCACCUGCUGGACGCCGGUCGGUACUGCAGGCACUGCCCCAGCAAGGGUCCCUGGUGUAUUCCAGGCACCGGAGACGUGCAGUGGUUUCUCCUGGGGCUCCUCAGUGUUCUCUAGGCUGCUCUAGAUGCUUCCCAGAGCGUCCUAGAGGCCUCUCAAGAGCCAACCUAUGUGCUCAGAGAAACGCUAGUGUGCUUCCAGAGCUCCUGUAUGUGUUCUCAGGAGGGUUCCAAGUGUGCCCUAGAUGCCUCCAAGAUGCCCCCAGCAUAAUCUGAGGAAUCCUGGAGUACUCCCAGAGCUCCUCAGUGUUCACUAGGAUGCUGUAGAAGUCUCACAUUGUGCCCUAGAGGCUUUCAAGGACACCCCAGUGGACCCCCUCAGCCCCGGCGCUGAGCCAAUCGGAUGCCGCGAUAGGCGCAGGGGUGGCUGAGAGCCAAACCGGUCCGUUCCCGGCACUGAGCGCUCCCCUGAUCUGAGUAGCGAGCGUAAAUCCAUGCAAGUACCACUUGCUUUGGUGCAUGCGCACUGCUGCCGGAGGACCAGUCACCAUAGAGCGGUGGUUUCUCUGUGCAGAGCAGCUAGAAGUCAGACGUCACUUCCGGCUUCCUGUGCACACGCGUCUUACUGCCUGGAGGCUCAAACACCAUAGAAGUUGGCGGACUCGAGGCGCAGAGCGGCUACAUGCAAAUUACGGAUGCGCUGAGCCAAUCGGCGGCCGCGCGGAGGCAGCGAUGAGUUAAAGCGGUACUUUUCAUAGGAGGUGUGGAAGAAAUGUGAGAAAGAGGUGUCUUAGAUGAGAGGAGACGACUGGACUAUGUGGAUCAAGGGAGAAGAGUUGAGUUGUGUGUUCUAGAAUACAAAAGUGACUUUGUUGUACAGUUUCAUCGGCCUGAUGAUUCUCUGCUGGAAAUCAGUGGAUGACUCAAAGCAAAGACAAAAGGCAGCCAAGUGUCAGACAGCAAAAGACAACACCGUUUUUCUUUCUUCAUGACAGCUGGGAUGAACAUUUGCAAGAUACGGAUCCAAAUGUUUCUUUUAAGGAUUGUGGCCUGAGGCCACCGCCGUGUCAGUCACCCACAUGUUAACUCUGGCAACAAACCAAGUAUUGAAUUCUUGCAGAAACGCCGAAAAGAUCGUUAGAAAAAAAGAAAAGCUUAUGUGUACAUACAUACUAUGAAGAGCAUUUGAGUGAGCAAACCCAGAAGGUGGGUUUGAGGACGGACCGGGCUGCAAGCUUCCAACCUGCGUAGUACAGAAGGACUCUCAGCAACUGGCCCAAGAGGAAACUGAAGAUGACUUGGUCCUGUGCUGUAGUAACAACACUUCACUGCUUUGGAAAAACAAUAAAAAGAAGAAAGAAAAAAGAAAGCAUUGAGAGUUCCAACACCAUAAAAAGAUAAGAAACAGAAUGUAUUUUGAGUGAAAGUGGAAAAGUCUUGUGUUACGCAACACAGUCAUGCAGAAAUCUCCAAAACAGGUGUGUUCAUAACAGCAUGGCACUGAGCAUGGAUUAAUUCAUUACAGCUGAGAUACUCCUAGGUUCUGAUUGGAAUAGUUUGUGGGUACAUCUUCUCACAGAUGUUCCAGCUCAGAUAUGUUACUGCCUCAGGCCUGCACUUGUACCAUUGGUUCUUGUGGUUUGGCUGAACUGGAGCAAGAGGAACAGAAAGACACAAGGAUUGUUUGCAAAGAAAAACAUAUAGAGGGGGAAAGUAGAAGCAGUUAAACAAAUAAAGAGGUAUUGAAGAGAAGGAAAAUCAAUGAGUCAUAAGUGAACAUGGACGAACUUUCAGAGGAAGUGAUGCAUGCAUGUAGAUGGAUAUUGGAUAUUACAUAGAGGGUAUUUCAAUGCUGGCAUUUGAUUUGAAAGAACAACCAGGCAGGUCCACUUUCUCUCCCUACUAAUUUACAUGAGAUUACUAACUCUCCUCUAAUUUGUAUUAGGACAUUUCAAAGCUCUGCGUGAUUUCCAAAGGCAAUUUGUGCCAAUGGGAAGGUAUACACACAGCAUAUGAAUGAGUACAAGGGAACUUGAUCAAAAUUCCAGUCUCAUGUAUUUUUUCUGAACACUUGCUGCACUCCUUUCAGAUCUGGAAAAUUGCAGGCUGACAUAUCUCUGGAUUUUUUAUGUUGUGCUUCUUUUCUCCUAAGAUCUACGCCCUACUGGUUCUGGGAAACUUGUGACCUCUGCAUUUUUAAUUAGAACUUGUAACAUUUUCCAUAGCAACAUAUUUUGAUGUCGCAAAUACAGAACCUGUCAAAUCAAACAAUUUCAAAGUGCAAAGCUACGGCCUUCUGGUCAAUUGAAGUCCAAGUACAUGAAAACACUGAGAUGCAAGGAAGACUGAAAAUUAUUUGUUGGUUAACUCAUAGCUUUGAUCUUCAUAAUUAAUAAAUCAGUACAGAUAUAAAAGAAUUACAUUGCAUGCUGGAGUGGUUUAGAUGAACUCAGUACUAAUUUCAUCGCACGUGAGAGCAGAUAGAAUCCAUCUGUCUGACUGGUGUGCCAGUACUAACAUGGUACAAAGGAGAGGAUCUAUUUCUAGGAAAUAGUCGAGAUGUGGAACAAACUUCACUCACAUGAUGAGCUGUGUGAGCAGGAAGUGAAGAAAACAGAAAUCCUCUGAAACGAGGCCUGAGCUCAGAUUUCAACAGACCCACAAUAUGAGCAGGAAUAAUAAUAAUGGGUUAAGAAAAGCAGUGUAACUUAGCACUUAAAUAUGUAUAUUAAAAAUAAGUCAUUUAUUUAUGAUACAUGCCCUGCAAGUGCCAAAUAAUACUUCUGUCAAGUCUGAAGAACAUAAACUGAGAAUUUUUGUCAUUCAGAUAUACUUAUCUUUCCUUUUCCUGCUUUAAGCUAAGACUAAUGGCCAAGGAAGUCAUAUUUUCCUGCCAUUACUAAGACUGCACAAGGUAAUUUGCCCCUCUGCAAGGACAUCCACGUGUAACUGUUAGUCACACCAGCAGCCACGAGAUAUGGAUAUGAUCAUCAAGUCUUAUUAAAACAAAUGCUGAAUACCAUGAACCUUUCAGGAGGAAAAGGCAAGUGUCAAUGUGGAAUGCGGUAAGAACUUUCUUGUUUCUGGUAGCAUUGGGUAUGUGACUGCUAUCCCUUUUCUUAUUCCAUCUAUUUCCACUUUUUACAAAAAAAAGCAAAAAACAAAAAAACAACCCAAAACAACCCAACCCACUGGAAUAUUAAGUUAGUAUUAAGUUAAAUGUGGUAUGUUUUAACCUUGCAUUGCAGAUAAGGAAUUCCUGGAGUUCCUCAAUCCUGCAUGAUUGCAGGCAGCUCACCUGAGUGUGCAUAAGGGAAAGGGGAACAAAAAUAUAAGAUUUUUCUGUUUCCUACCAAUUAUCUGAUAUUUCCCCUCUACUGUCUUUGGUGUAAAAGAAAACCAAAGUUCAGCCUUCUAGGAAAUGUAUUCUGGUAACCUGAAAGACUUUAUAAAUAGAGUGCACAAAUAGAUGACAGUAAUUCCAUGACAUAGAUUUUCUGCUUUAGAAUGAAAUGCUUCAUUUGAAAAAGCUCCUAAAAUUGUUAGAACAGUAAUUAAAAAAAAAAAAAAAGUUUAAACUCCACAAUUGAAUACAAAAAACGUUGCUGUGAAGGUUUUGAUUUCCAAGAAAUCCAUUUUAAACUUAUUUACAAAGUUUACAUAGAAGAAUAGAUCUGCUGCUAUCUAUAACAUUCACUUCUGUAGUAGAACAGCUAAUUUGCGACUAUUGGAUGAGAGAUACAGAAAGAGUCACUUUAGUGAAAGAAAAAAAAAACAUAUUAUUUUAAGGACAAAUAGUAAAAAAUGAUUGUUUUGGAGUUUAGAGAAACAGAGUUUGAAGGAUUUUGCCCUCCAAUGCAGACUGCUCAUGCUUAUGCUGUAGCAAAGGAGGAGCAUCUUGACUACAAGAGUCUUAGUGGAAGAAAACUGGCAAUGCCUUUAUAAAAAUGUAUUUAAUUUCUGUGUUUGCAGUUUUCCCAGCUUCAUCCCUAGGUCCUGGCCUCAAGGGCCCUAGAGAUGUCACAGUUUUAAACAGUCUUAUAAAUCUAGGAGGGGAAAUGAGCUGUCUCUCAUCUUAAACAGAGAGCCUUGGAGAAUGUCUAUGGGGCUUUACCAAUGGAGCUGCCGAAAACAAAGCUAUGAUUCAGGGGUCUCUGACCUUUCCCAGCCCUCCUCCACCAGUGUCAGCCUGCAGCCUGCUCUUUAAAAGUUUCUGCUCACCCAGGGAGCAAAAUUAGAAAUCUUCUCCAGGGACAAUUUUUCUUCCAUCAAGCCACUCAUCAGCCCACUGAGGCAUGGAAACCAAAAAGGAAAAAGUGAGUUAAAAGAAUGUAUGUCUCUUGGUAAGGAUUUCCCACAGCAGAGUGUAAGUGUCCAGACUACCUCAUCAGCAGAGUCCCAGCCUUUACUAUACGUCUUGGUAUUCAGUCUGUACUGUAGUGGUAUAGAAAAGUGCCAAGCACUGUGCAGGUGAUGCAUGCAUCAAUACAGCAGAUGUGGAGGUGUGUUUGAACUGCUUAACAUCAGCACUUACCAAAUGUUGAAGACACUCUAGCCCCUACGACAAAUAAAAGCAUUCAUUCAGAUGUGCAUGGCAUUUCAGGAAUGGAAUCAUUAUUAUCUUCUCCGAAAAUGUUUUGUCUUAUGUUUAAUAUAAUAUAAUAUAUAUUGCUUAUUGGAAACAAAUCCUUGUUAGUCUCGUUGUUUGUUUGUUUCCUAAUUGUGGAUUACCACAGAACAGGGUACAGUUCAUAAAUACCUCAAAUAUCUGAAAGGUGAUUGCAGCAGAGCAGGGCUGCUAUCUUCUCACUGGUGGCAGGAUGAGGAGAAAUGGCCUCAGGCUGCACCAGGGGAGGUUUAGGUCGGAUAUCAGGAAGAAUUUCUUUACAGAAAGGGUUGUUAAGCUCUGGAAUGGGCUCCCCAGGGAGGUGUUGAGUCACCAUCCCUGGAUGUGUUUAAAAUCCAUCUGGAUGUGGUGCUCAGGGACAUGAUUUAGUGGAGGGUUGUUAGAGUUUGGGUAGUAUGGUUGGGUCUUGAUUGGACUCAAUGAUCUUUAAGGUCUUUUCCAAGCAAAUUCUAUGAUUUCCGGAGCAAUUCUAUGAUUCUGUCAUUUAAUAUGGAGAAAAUUCAAGUAAACUAAAAAUCAGAUUUAAAAGAUAACCUGGUGCAAUGUACUUUUAUUUAUUAAUUUGUUUAUUUUUAUUCCCCAGGCCUUUUUAAAGUUAACCCUAGGAAACACCCCACGUUGGCGACUCCUUGUAAUUCAUGUCAAUGUUCUUUCAGCAGCACAGUUGCUGCUUCCACGCCGUGAGCAUCUCCUGUAUUUGCUUUAGAACUGCUUCCUGCUGAUGCGUUAAGCACAGGAAGUGAAAGCUAUAGGUGCUGGUGCCCUGUGUGUCCAUAAAUGAAUGGUUUAAGAGCCUGAUGUAAAUAAGCAGCACAAACACAGGGUGUUCCUCCCCUGCUCUGCCCUUGGAGCUGAAAGGCAGAAUAUUGGAAUGGGUCUGUUGUCGAUUCCAUAACUACCUCCCCCCAUUCAGCUGAAGGAAGGGAAAUAAGAAAAUUGAAAGGUCAGACUUCUGAAGUCAUCUUCGCCACGUGCUUAACAUUUACAUCAUCAAAUUAAUGGAAUGACUGCAACCACAAGCACAAAAGAUAAAGGACAGAAGCUCUUUUUCCUUCGCAGUACAAAUCCUUCUCACAGAACCUCACACUGAAUCUUUUCCCAGCUGUACAGGAUUUACUUCUCAUUCUCUUCCUAGAUGCCAGAAACUCAGCCUCUAGCUAAAGCCUGCUAAGACAACUCUUUUUUGUUUCUCUUGGUGAAGCAGACGCACCGCAUUCUGAACGCUUGCACUUUCCACCAUGAGAAGUGUUCUGGGAGAGAAAGCCCCAAAAGAUCAAAUGUUAUCAUUUCUCAUUAAGUCAGUUUACACCACUGUUGUCAGUCAGUGUAAGGAACAUUAAUAAGUACAAGCUGUGGUAAAUUCCUGGAGGUCGCCUUGCAGUGAUAAGGAAGCCUUGCAGUGAUCUGGAAGCCUACCUGCCUGCCAUGGAGCCCAAAGGCAGUCAUGCCAUCCCAUCCAUCUCCCUGAAGUCAAACUGGGCCCUGAAGUCUGAAGACUGCAAUAUUUCGUGUAGUUCUGCCUACAUACCAAACAUCCUCAGCAUCAAAAAUCCACUUGGCAGGUCUUUGGGCAGGCACUGAGUUUUCAUAUGUAUCAACCCGUCCAUGUAGAAUGAGAGCCUUUUCACCUGCGUGUAACUUGUUAAUGUGAGCAAAUAAAGCAUCUGGGAAGGGCAGGGAAAGGAAGGGGGAAAAGAAUAAGGUCAGAUCUGUAAAGUAAGUCGAUCUCUAAGGAUUAAGCAGUGCUUCUUUGUAGAGAUCCUCCACCAAAAAAAAAAAAAACCCAGACAAGAUUCAGUGCUCUCAACAUAAACCACUAUGGAGACCAGCUGAACUCUUGGCAGAUAUCACAGGGUACCCCAAAAAGACAUAAAACAUAUGAUAAGGUGCUAAAUGCAACAUUAUCCAUGUAGCAUCUUUUAUUCAGCAUCUACAGUCAUCUGGGGUAGGCAAACUCAGGCCAGGGCAGCAGUAGUUGAGGUUUAUGUCCAAGGAUCAAGAUUAAAUUUAAAUAAGACACACAUUGCUUGCUUUUUUGUUAGCUGAGGCAAAGAGGACAUCACUCAUUCAGUCUGCAAACACUCCCACUGUGACACACUCAGUGCUAAACUGAGAAACGUUCUUAGGAAUGUCAUAGGUGAGGAAAUGAGCAGCAGCAAAUGGUACCUCCGCUUUGAUACCUGGGUUCAUGGAAACUUAUUUGAAGUGAUGUAAUAGGGCACAACCAUUUACCAGGUGUUGCCUAUUGAGAGGGAAAACUAUACAAAGCCACAUCUGACUUUAAACAGGUUCCUGUAAUGCUAAUUUACUUAGAGAUGGCACCUGGACAGGACAUUGUCUUCAGGAAGCUGUAGUGCACAGCCCAAGAAAUACACACAAACAGCUGUAAUUACUAAUAAGAACACACGUUUACAUUUGUAAGUGUUGGAAAGCCUUCAAUUUAGCAUCUCUAUAAAUGCUGGAAAGCUCUUAGAAUAAAUGACCAGAAUCCCUCCUUCCUUGGGAAGCCAGCAAGGGCCCCACCUGACGGCUCUCCCAACGAAGAGUGUUGGAAGCCAUUUUUUGCAGCUGGGGAAGGAAAAUACAAGCUUAGGGGAAGAAUCUAUCACAACUUCCAGCAUGAGAAGGAAAGCAAGAGACAACUUGUCUGAGUCUGCCUUCUUGCAGCAGGAGGGCUACGAAAGUGUUUUUAAUGUCAGUCAAAACCAUUCUCCACGAUGGAUAAAACACAACAGAAGUGGACCAGGUCCAGUUUUGGGGAGUGAUGCUUUCUGACUGUGAUGGUGCUGUGGUGAAUAUUUCACAUCAGUGUCCGCUUUGUAAAAUUCAAGAUCUGAGUAUCUCUCUAUGCUGUUCGCCUUCUAUAGUGGUUUCCAGCGUAGCUUGCUUUCUUCAACAAUCAACAUCACCUACUAUCUGCAGGCACAAAUUAUCUAUUAUUAUUAUUUCUGCAGUUUAACAACACAAAGCAAAAGCAGAAAUAAAAGGAGAGAACAAAAGCAGCUCGUGAAGUCCACAACAUGCAUAAGAUUUGAUAUACAAUGCAUUAACUUCUCCCCAUUCGGUCCCCACGAGGACAGCGGCUCCAGGGCUGUGUGGUCCUAAAGCUUUAAAGUCAUUGAAAUUCUAAUCUUUAAAAAACACUGAAAGAUGAACUUUGACUGUACAAACCUUCAAAUAAAAAUAGCAUUUUUACUAAUGUGCUCUUCCCAAGUGCCUGCUUCUUCCUAGUAGGUUUCCCAUCCUAAUACUGUAUGUUUUUGCAGCUGGCAAUUGACACUGCCAAUGAGCCUUUAUGUUCAAUGUUAUUUAAUAGAUUCCCAUCAGAAAGUUAUUUUUACUUUUCAGUUUCA
ensembl:lncRNA